rnacentral:rRNA from 5 species
UGACCUCGGAUCAGGUAGGGAUACCCGCUGAACUUAAGCAUAUCAAUAAGCGGAG